CUCUACCCAAUGCCGGAUGCUUCGAACUGGAAGUUUCUUCUUCGUGUAGCGUAUUGAUUGCAUUAGUCUGUCGCUGCUAAAUCAAUUAGCAGAAAGCUAGCGAUAAAACAGCCUUCUCGAGACACGACACUCCAAUAAUUAAAAUGCAUCCGUCGAUUAUUGAAGGAGACCAGGGGUUGGAGUACACAAGUGUGUCACCAUCCCACUUUGGCUGUCCCCUCUGCCCCAGCUUCACCACACGGAGUGCAGGAGUCAUCAAGAGGCACCUGGAAGCUCAUGUGACAAAUGCAGUGCAUUUCAUGGAAAUGAUGAUCUGCAGAUGCAAUCUCCACUGCUCCAGAUGAGCCAGAUGUGGGUCAGUCAGCGCCGGCUACUGCUUCAGAGGAGCCCAUUGCUUCAGAGCCCAUUGCUUCAGAGGAGCCCAUUGCCCCAACCCACAUUAAGUGCCCGUACUGCCCAGUUGUCCUCUUUAAGAGGAAUUUGGUUAUACAUGUUCAACGAAAACAUGAUAAAGAAAAAGACAUCACGGAACUCAAGCUGUACACAGAGAUCUAUAUUCACCACAAAAACAACAGAGGCUCCCCAGAAAUGUGUACUGUACAUCUAUC